GUAGAGCAUAUUGUCAAAGGUGCGCUCGGUGGAGCGUGUGAGAACGUCUAUUAGAUCGAAAUCCACGCGGGCAAGCACCUGAAAUGGCAGAAGAGUGGUUGAAAGAGAGAAACUGAGCACAUCAAACAGCAAAGAAUUCACUAACACGUUGACGUCUUCACCACACUAAAAUCUCUUUCGGCUACCAACAACUUGUCCGCAUGCAUAAAAGCAACAGCAAACCAAGAGCCGAGAGAGAGAGAGAGAGAACGUGGGGAAUAAUUGAUCCUCACCAAGCGCUUGUCUCUCUGAGCGUGGUGCGCUUACCACAAACCCCGUUAGUUAGAGUCAAAUAAAUUG